GAUGAACGCUGGCGGCGUGCUUAAUACAUGCAAGUCGAGCGAACAGACGAGGAGCUUGCUCCUCUGACGUUAGCGGCGGACGGGUGAGUAACACGUGGAUAACCUACCUAUAAGACUGGUAUAACUUCGGGACACCGGCGCUUAUACCGGAUAAUAUAGUUAACCGCAUGGUGCAAUAGUGAAAGACGGUUUUGCUGUCACUUAUAGAUGGAUCCGCGCCGCAUUAGCUUGUUGGUAAGGUAACGGCUUACCAAGGCGACGAUGCGUAGCCGACCUGAGCGGGUGAAGCGGCACACUGGGGCUGAGCGGCGGUCCAGGCUCCGAGGGGAGGCACAGGCAGGGAAUCGUGGCCGAAGGGCGAAAGCCUGCCGGAGCGGCGCCAGGCUAGUGAUGAAGGUCUUCGGGGGGUAUAACUGUGUUAGUAGGGAAAAACACAUGUGCAAGUGACUAAGCACGUCUUGACGGUACCUAAACAGGAAGCCACGGCUAACUACGUG
rnacentral:rRNA from 1 species